rnacentral:lncRNA from 1 species
AGACAACUGACCGGCUGAACCCAACCGCAUAGUUGGCGCACCGCCGCCGUUCGUUCUCUUCAACCCCCCCAGUUGGCAACCUCCGUCCGCGCGCGCGCCGGUGACACCUCCCUUCCUGACUACAUCUUCCUUCCAUCGCCGGUGGCGGCAGCCCCGAUCGCAUCGCAUGACCAGGAGCCACACCCCAAAAUCCCUCGCCGUCCUGCUCCGUGCCAGGAUGCACCCCGACUCUAUCCCCN